AUUGAACGCUGGCGGAAUGCUUUACACAUGCAAGUCGAACGGCAGCACGGACUUCGGUCUGGUGGCGAGUGGCGAACGGGUGAGUAAUGUAUCGGAACGUGCCCAGUCGUGGGGGAUAACGUAGUGAAAAUUACGCUAAUACCGCAUACGAUCUAUGGAUGAAAGCGGGGGAUCGAAAGACCUCGCGCGAUUGGAGCGGUCGAUAUCAGAUGAGGUAGUUGGUGGGGUAAAGGCCCACCAAGCCAACGAUCUGUAGCUGGUCUGAGAGGACGACGAGCCACACUGGAACUGAGACACGGUCCAGACUCCUACGGGAGGCAGCAGUGGGGAAUUUUGGACAAUGGGCGAAAGCCUGAUCCAGCCAUUCCGCGUGCAGGAUGAAGGCCCUCGGGUUGUAAACUGCUUUUGUACAGAGCGAAAAGGUUUCUACUAAUACUAGGAGCUCAUGACGGUACUGUAAGAAUAAGCACCGGCUAACUACGUGCCAGCCGCCGCAGUAA
rnacentral:rRNA from 1 species